UUUCCUCCCAUCUAUUAAAUAGGAAAGUAAGCCUAAUCCUUCAACAAGGAUAAGCACUUCAUGGGAAAUUGAAAGGUGGGAACCUGGGAUGAGAAAUGUCCUUAGGAUGCACAUGAUAGAUGAUGCUACUCGGGAGAGCAGACCUUGACCCAGCCUCCUCUUGUCCCCACCCACUGUAUCAUCUCUGUGGCUCUUGCAAGAAAAUCCUUGGACUUUCUGCCCGUGCUGUAAAGAAAGAAGGUUCAGCAGCCAAGCAGGUCACAAUUGGAGGCUUGUAUUCUGUGGCAAGUCAUGAGAUUCUGAGUAAGGAGCCUGAGGUCCAGCACAAGUACACAUGACACAUAAUUAAUAAUAUGGCUAACAGUGGCCUCCAGUGACAACCAUGCCUUAAUUCCUUACAUCUAUGACUGUGCCAGAAAUGGACUUGGUAUGUGUGAUCUGAGUACCUGGAGGUGGCCUUAUUAUUUUGGAUUAUCUGAGUGGGCUCCAUAGAUUCACAGAGGAGCCCGGAGGAUUAGUGAAGUAGGAGUUCUGUUGAUGGAUGUGAAGCUUAGGGAUUGCCAAGAGGAGGCGGGAGCCAACCUCCUGUCCUGGAAAGGUAUGGUCCGAUUCCCUUCUGGAAUCUUCUGAAGCAGGUAAGUGCAGCUGGCACCCCGCAGACCCGGAAGUCUGAGAUUGCUCUCUCCCGCUAUUUCUAGAGAAACAAAAAAGACUUUAAUGAAAACAACUUGGUCAGACAGAAUUCUGAACUCUUCGGAUGAAGCUGGUUUGGAAAUGAAAACUUCGCUACAUCCACCCAUGGAAGCUGAUCUAUUCCUGAGAAAUGUGUUUGACUGUCAACGAGAGUGGGCGUGCGACUGUCAAGUCAGCUUUCUGAAAUGACAAGGGGAUAAGAUUGGCAUUCUGUGUCUUCCUGACUGAUGUUAAUUAUUCCUUUGGUUGGAGUGAAUACAACUUUUGUUCUAAAGUAGUUAAUGAUAGCCUUCUUAUUGCCCCUUUUAAUUCCAUGAGGGACAUAUCUGCAUU